rnacentral:rRNA from 1 species
UACGGGGGGGGGCAAGCGUUGUUCGGAAUUACUGGGCGUAAAGGGCUCGUAGGCGGCCAACUAAGUCGGAUGUGAAAUCCCUGGGCUCAACCCAGGAACUGCGUCCGAUACUGGCAGGCUUGAAUCCGGGAGAGGGAUGUGGAAUUCCAGGUGUAGCGGUGAAAUGCGUAGAUAUCUGGAGGAACACCGGUGGCGAAGGCGGCAUCCUGGACCGGUAUUGACGCUGAUGCGCGAAAGCCAGGGGAGCAAACGGG